CGCCAAAUGAAACUUAACAAAUACAAACAGGUAGCCGGAUCAGAUCCCAGACUGGAACAAGAUUACCAUUCGAAGUAUCGCUCAGGAUGGGAUCCACAUAGAGGGGCAGAUACUGUUUCUACUAAAUCCUCGGACAGUGAUGUAAGUGAUGUAUCUGCGGUUUCAAGGACUAGUAGUGCUUCUCGUUUCAGCAGCACAAGCUACAUGUCCGUCCAAUCAGAACGGCCGAGAGGAAACAGGAAAAUCAGUUUCAGCCCCCUUGUGCAGGAAUGUGGAGCACAGGCACCAGUUCAACCCCCACUCAUUCCCUUGGGACCUGACAUCAA
rnacentral:lncRNA from 1 species